CGUAACGCGUAUGCAAUCUACCUUUUACAGAGGGAUAGCCCAGAGAAAUUUGGAUUAAUACCUCAUAGUAUAUAGACCUGGCAUCAGGAUUAUAUUAAAGUCACAACGGUAAAAGAUGAGCAUGCGUCCCAUUAGCUAGUUGGUAAGGUAACGGCUUACCAAGGCUACGAUGGGUAGGGGUCCUGAGAGGGAGAUCCCCCACACUGGUACUGAGACACGGACCAG
rnacentral:rRNA from 1 species